AGAGCCCAAGCGGAGGCGGCGCGGAGCGUUUCGGCUCUCAACGCAUCGGGAACCGGUGUGUAGUGCGAGGCUACGGCGGAGCCUCCACACUGAAGGCGCGAGAGGUUGGCAGCUUCGAUUGAAGCACAUCGAGCGGUGACAGCAGUGGAAGUCAUGAGCGGCAGCAGCGAGCAGAACUACGGCGAGCGGGAAUCCCGUUCUGCUUCCAGAAGUGGAAGUGCUCAUGGAUCUGGGAAAUCUGCAAGGCAUAUCCCUGCAAGGUCUCGCUCCAAGGAAGAUUCCAGGCGUUCCAGAUCAAAGUCCAGGUCCAGAUCUGAAUCUAGGUCUAGAUCCAGAAGAAGUUCUCGGAGGCAUUAUACAAGGUCACGAUCUCGGUCCCGGUCCCAUAGACUAGCAUCAGGGACUAGGCAGAGUGGAAAUCACUGCUGGGAUAAGUACGAUGGGGAAGAAGUCAAGUGCAGGCUGUCGACCAGUAAGCAGGAAGAGGAAUGGCUUGUGGGGUAG